rnacentral:rRNA from 1 species
CCUACGGGGGGCAGCAGUGGGGAAUUUUCCGCAAUGGGCGAAAGCCUGACGGAGCAAUACCGCGUGAGGGAUGACGGCCUAUGGGUUGUAAACCUCUUUUUUCAGGGAGGAAUCAAAUGACGUGUACCUGAAGAAUAAGCAUCGGCUAACUCCGUGCCAGCAGCCGCGGUAAGACGGGGGAUGCAAGUGUUAUCCGGAAUCACUGGGCGUAAAGCGUCUGUAGGUGGUCCAAUAAGUCAACUGUUAAAUCUUGGGGCUCAACCUCAAAAUCGCAGUCGAAACUAUUAGACUAGAGUAUAGUAGGGGUAAAGGGAAUUUCCAGUGGAGCGGUGAAAUGCGUAGAUAUUGGAAAGAACACCGAUGGCGAAGGCACUUUACUGGGCUAUUACUAACACUCAGAGACGAAAGCUAGGGUAGCAAAUGGGAUUAGAUACCCCGGUAGUC